rnacentral:rRNA from 1 species
AACGAACGCUGGCGGCAGGCUUAACACAUGCAAGUCGAGCGCGUAGCAAUACGAGCGGCAGACGGGUGAGUAACGCGUGGGAAUCUACCCAUCCCUACGGAACAACUCCGGGAAACUGGAGCUAAUACCGUAUACGCCCUAACGGGGAAAGAUUUAUCGGGGAUGGAUGAGCCCGCGUUGGAUUAGCUAGUUGGUGGGGUAAAGGCCUACCAAGGCGACGAUCCAUAGCUGGUCUGAGAGGAUGAUCAGCCACAUUGGGACUGAGACACGGCCCAAACUCCUACGGGAGGCAGCAGUGGGGAAUAUUGGACAAUGGGCGCAAGCCUGAUCCAGCCAUGCCGCGUGAAUGAUGAAGGCCUUAGGGUUGUAAAGUUCUUUCACCGGAGAAGAUAAUGACGGUAUCCGGAGAAGAAGCCCCGGCUAACUUCGUGCCAGCCGCCGCCGUAA